rnacentral:rRNA from 1 species
AUUGAACGCUGGCGGCAGGCCUAACACAUGCAAGUCGAACGGUAACAGGAAGAGGCUUGCUUCUUUGCUGACGAGGGGCGGACGGGUGAGAAAUGUCUGGGAAACUGCCUGAUGGAGGGGGAUAACUACUGGAAACGGUAGCUAAUACCGCAUAACGUCGCAAGACCAAAGAGGGGGACCUUCGGGCCUCUUGCCAUCGGAUGUGCCCAGAUGGGAUUAGCUAGUAGGUGGGGUAACGGCUCACCUAGGCGACGAUCCCUAGCUGGUCUGAGAGGAUGACCAGCCACACUGGAACUGAGACACGGUCCAGACUCCUACGGGAGCGAGCAGUGGGGGAUAUUGCACAAUGGGCGCAAUCCUGAUGCAGCCAUGCCGCGUGUAUGAAGAAGGCCUUCGGGUUGUAAAGUACUUUCAGCGGGGAGGAAGGGAGUAAAGUUAAUACCUUUGCUCAUUGACGUUACCCGCAGAAGAAGCACCGGCUAACUCCGUG